rnacentral:rRNA from 1 species
UACAGAGGGGGCAAGCGUUGUUCGGAAUUACUGGGCGUAAAGGGCGCGUAGGCGGCCUUCUAAGUCGAACGUGAAAUCCCCGGGCUCAACCCGGGAACUGCGUCCGAUACUGGGAGGCUUGAAUCCGGGAGAGGGAUGCGGAAUUCCAGGUGUAGCGGUAAAAUGCGUAGAUAUCUGGAGGAACACCGGUGGCGAAGGCGGCAUCCUGGACCGGCAUUGACGCUGAGGCGCGAAAGCCAGGGGAGCAAACGGG